UAGCUGAAGCCAAGUCUGUAGCAGAUGGAACAAACUGUACAUGUGAAAGGACGCAUUUCUACAUGGCAACAGAUUAUAUCUGCCCAGGAAACCAGAGUCUGACCCCUGCUUGCCCACAAGGGAGUUCUAUGCCUAUAAGAAGGAUGACACAGGAAGAGAGGGGUGGGCUUUGACUGCGCUGCAACGAUUGCUCCCAUCACCCUCUCUGAGGACUGAUUCCCCCAUCAGAGGAGGGCCUUCUGGAUGAUCUAGAGCUUUGCUGCCUGACUUCCCCAAUAGAGCAUUUUUGAAAAAGUGGAGAAGAACUGUUUUUCUGUUUCUUAUGGAGGGCUGAUUCUUCAUAACCGGGGUGCCCUCAUUGCCUCUCUUGCCAAGCCUGGGUUACAUCUGUUGGCAUCUGAGUGCUCUGAGUGAUUGAAUAUUGUGUCCUUUUAUGAUGAUGGUGGAAGUCCAAAACAGGAAUGACUCACCCAUGAUGGCACCCUACUGACAUCUGGCAGCAGCCAUUCCAUCAUCCUGCAGCACACAAAGAGAUGGGAAGCAUAACGAUUGUUACAUACAGCUAUGACCUCACCUGUCCGUCACUGCUAAAACUGUACUUUCUGGAAACAUCUACCACAGUGCUUGUUUGCAUAAUCUUGAUCCAAAUAUAUUAUUACAGCCAAACGACAAAGUAAGCUAGAGAUAGAAAAAAUGUGGAGGAUAGAACUGGCAGUGGCAGCAUUGUUUCAAAAAAAAAAAAAAUACAUGAGAGAAUCUGUUCCUAUUCCAACAGGCUCUGGAAUGUAAAGACAACUCCCCAUUUAUUUCCUCAUACUGUUCUUACUCAAACCAAGAUGUUCUACGAUUAAAUAUUUCUUCUGUAAAAAAGAUACUACCUUUCCUUACAGGGAACAAGUCUGGAGUUCAUAGCUUUGAAUGUAAAAA